rnacentral:misc_RNA from 1 species
GUCAUGUCGUCAGAGAAAAAAUUUUCCGUUCUCUAGUAAAUAAACUUUGCAAAGAUAAUUCCCACCAUAUUGAGAUGGAAAUGGGAUAUAUAGUCUGAGCUAUUCAAGAUGGUUGAUGUCUUAUAAAGAUUGCAACACCUUUAGCUUGUCUAAGGCCAAACCGGAAGAGAAGAUUUAUUUGCUUUAUACACCUUGAUCGUGCAACUUCACAUUUUUGUUAUAACUUAAUGUUGUAUUUUUUAGUCUUAUUGAU